CUGGGUACCUACUUAAGCUUAGCCCCGAUCCUUUAAUUUUUUUUAGGCUGUGCUGAAACCCUCUUUCUUCAGCUCUCUGUUUUUGUCUUUGCCUGGCUCUUACUGGAGUAUUUGAGGGAUUCAUUGGAGUCACUGGGUUGUCCUGGUUGCUCCUGGGGAGCUGCUCUUUGUUUGUGACCCCCUGAAAGCUGAAAGCACUGCGAAGUUUAUUCUGAUCCUUCUAAAAGAAUGGAGUCCCCAAGGAUGCAUUGCUUCACUGACUUUGCCACUGCAUGUUGUUCCCUUUUUUCCAAAAACAGCGCAAUGUCCUGUGUCUUUCCAAAGGCUGGGCUUAGAAGGGAGGUCUAGUACUUAGCAAUUAGUAAUUCAUUAAAAUAAUGCUGUAAUAGUUGAUAUAGAUACUUUGUUAACGAUUGCAUUUUUUCCUUUUUUUCUGGGUGAUAAACAACCUAUCUCACUGGAGGGCCAGAAUGUAUAUUUGACUUCUGUUUCUUUAGUUAAGUGUAUGUUAGGAAGUAAGCAUAUGAGUUAAUGUCUCUUUGGUAUGAUUCAGUCUUCAACAGUAUGGAGUUAAACCAUGAAAUUAUAGGUAUUUUAAGCCUCUGAACAUAAAUUUUCUAAAGUAACUGUGGCGAAGAACUACAUUUAAAAGCAUCAAACUCAUAUUUCAAGUCUAGCAGAAAAUAACUUGAAAAAAUAUUGCAUUCAAGUGAACAUCAGAAACACAUCUGUAUAUUUUAUUAGACUUUGAAAAUAGCCGUGGAUUGCUGACUGUAGGAAGAAAUACACUGUUUCUUCCUGUUCUGAACCACUGUGUUCUAAACCAUCUGCUGUGCUCUCUACACAGAGCUACAAAGCACUUGUGUGAAAAUAACUUUGUAGAUUUGAGAAAUUAGAUACGGGCAAAGAAAUGAACGUGUUGAAUCUGAAUAAUGUAAAAUCUCAUUCAAACUAUUAUGUAAGAUGGAUUAAGGCAGUAGCUUUUUUCAGUCCUAUUAUUUACAGUAAUAUUCAUUUUCUUCAUUUGAAUAUCCAUAUGAAUUAUCUUCCUUUUUAAUUUAGCAUCUCUUAGAGUCCACUUGUGCAGUGGUUGAUAGCAAGGUCUUUGUACCCAUUUUUGGGAUAGGUUACAACAUCUGUUUAGAGAGUCGUGUGUUCAUAAGUCUUUUUGCGAAGACUUGCUACGUUUGGCUUUUACUGUGUGUGAUAUAGAGGACUCUAUAUUGUGGUUUCGUGUAAAUUCAACAAUAACGAGGAAAAAAUGGAUAUCGGUAACAUGGCAACUGCUUUCUAAUUCUGUUCCACUUUUUUAAAUGUACCAUUUUAUUUUAGUUGUAUUCAGACUAUAAUUCUCAAAUAUGUAUGGAUAGAAAAUCAGUCAAUAUCAAGUAUUUGCUCCACAUAGAUGUAAUCUGUAGUUUUCAUGUUUGUGUUUAUCAAUUGUAAGUGAUACUGAAUCAGUUUGAGACCAGUCCUGCCAAAUGUGACAGUAGAAGUUUUGCUAUUGACUUCAGUGGAAGAAGAAUGUAGCCAGCACUAAGUGGAAAGGCUGUUUUUCCUCUCUGGAGAUGUUUUGCAGGAUUACGUGAUCGUUUGGUUGAGCUGAGCCCUGGUGUAUGCAGGUCACUUCAGGAUGUUUUCAUGCUUGUGACCAGAUGGAAAAUGUCUUUUGCAAUCAAUAAAAACAUUUCAAAUUUUUUUUCAA